rnacentral:rRNA from 1 species
UGUUGACAUUAUAGUUGUGCAGGCACUUUGGUGAUUCUAGAGAAACUCGGGCCAAUCGCACGUCCCCAUGACGGCGACUUUGCAUUCGGAUGUCUGACCUAUCAACUUUCAAUGCCACUUUCUGCACCUACCAUGGUGACCACGGGUAAUGGGGAAUCAGGGUUUGAUUCCGGAGAGGGAGACUGAGAAACGGCUACCACAUCCAAGGAAGGCAGCAGGUGCGCACAUUACCCACUCCCGACGCGGGGAGGUUGUGACGACA